rfam:Brassica rapa chromosome A3, whole genome shotgun sequence.
ACUUCUUUGUGAGGUCUUUCUUCUAUGAAAUACAUUUGUUACGCUUGGCUUCUGA